rnacentral:rRNA from 1 species
UACGUAGGGCGCAAGCGUUAUCCGGAAUUAUUGGGCGUAAAGAGCUCGUAGGCGGUUUGUCGCGUCUGCCGUGAAAGUCCGGGGCUCAACUCCGGAUCUGCGGUGGGUACGGGCAGACUAGAGUGAUGUAGGGGAGACUGGAAGUCCUGGUGUAGCGGUGAGAUGCGCAGAUAUCAGGAGGAACACCGGUGGCGAAGGCGGGUCUCUGGGCAACAACUAACGCUGAGGAGCGAAAGCGUGGGGAGCGAACAGG